UAUAAUCUUGCACUUCGUCUUUCUUUGCGCGUUUUUCCACAUCCUUGGGCGAUUUUGGAGAGACUUUGUAGCGAGGCGAAGAACUUUUGCCAUCUCGUCGUUUACUUCGCUCGUAUCGUAUCCAAUAUUUACGCAGCAAUUCUGAACAGCCCGUUAUGUUGCUUUCAGGCUCCCAGGAGAUCGUCUCGGUCAAAUCUCCUGGCAACUUCGCCCAUUUUACCAUGUACACGAGGAUCUUCUCCUUGCCUUCCCUUCGAUGAUCUAACAAAUCAACGACUUCAUACUCGGUAUCCUUGCGAUGACGACGGGGGGAUUUCUUGGGUGAUGAAUGAUGCUCGCGGAGAUGAUCGUGCGACGUUCUCUUCACUGGACGACGAUCGUGUUGAGAAGUCGUAGCGAAGGUUUCCGUUAUUUCUUCGUCCGAGGACAGACUUAUGUUCCCAACAUGAAAUCCAGUAAUAAACGAAGUACAGGAGACGCGUACGAAUCCUGAAUCUGACGAAAACGUUCUAGUAGAACCUGGUGAGACAAUCUCAGAAUACGAGCUCUGAUGUUGUCUUCGUCAACGGUUCACAUUCAAAAGAUAAGGACCAAUACAGUUAAUAAGAACACUCUUUCUGACGUGACCGAAAAUCACCACGGCAUGGAUAGGUAUGCGAAAGCUGCAACCAGACGGCACCCAUAGCUUUGGGUCGUUUGGUGGCCUGCAGAUAACUGAGAUAAGGCCUGACGUGAAGAAUGAGGUCUAGCCUCAAGGAAAAACAGCUGGUGAAACAAUGGUGGAUGAGGGGAUUUGAGCAAAAUAUGGCGGCUGUUUGUCUUUCUUGCUUGUGCCAAUUUUUGGUGCUGAAAAUACUGGUAAAAUUGCAACUAUAGUACGAGUAUCAUUGCAACAUAAACCAUCAACACCUGCACAAUCUUAUGUUCUAAAACAAUAAAAAUUUUAUUGGCAAUAGCCACUGAAUUAUUUGACAAUAGUUACAACUUGCAA